rnacentral:rRNA from 1 species
AUGGAUCCAAUAGUCAACCAGGGGUGGACCUCAUCCGAGGUAGAGGAGGCAUGCUCACUCAUUGCUAGGAUCAAUACCAACAAAAUCAUGUAUGACAGUAACGAUGACAAGAACAAGAAGCACAACUACAUCGUGAAUUCUCUCCAUGCAUUGUUCCCUUCAAAGACCAUGAAACAGGUAACAGAUCUUUAUAUUGAUCUCGCUGUGGAAAUGCAUAUGACCCAAUGGAGGGAGGGGACCCAUGUUACUAGUGGUAGCGCGCAAAACAUUUUCACCUUUUGUGACCCUGUCAACGGUAACUAUGAGCUGCCAAUGGAGGAGAAUGGUGCUAGCAGCACACACGGUAUCUACACCAUGGGCGACCAUGCGAAUGAAAACUUCGGUGUACUACCCGUAAAUAAACAAAAGUCAUUUCUUUAUGGGCUGGAAGUCUAUGGCCGUGGCGACUGGAAAAACAUAUCCAAGCACUUUGUCACCACUAAGACCCCUGUCCAAGUUUCAAGCCAUGCACAAAAGUUUUUCAAGAGAAUACAGAAAAAGGCAUCGUCAGGGACAAAGCAUUACAGCAUCAAUGAUGUCAGGCUCCAUGACAAUGAGCUAUUGGCAGAAAAUAAUAGUUCUGUCACCCGGCAAGCCCUUUCUUUCACCGGCCUCAACAAUGACCCAAGCUUUAAGUUGCAGGCUCCGACGAGCUCGUCAAUAGUCAUGAACAACCAAGCUCAGUGCUCCCCUUCCAUAUAUAAUCAACAAGUGGGUCAUCAGCCAAUGUGGAGUGAGCAGCAGAUGAUGGGUUCUAUUGCAGCUGUUAUGGACGGGGUAGGAAACUAUGUGCCAGAUGGCCAACAAGGGUCAGCUUAUUUUUAUCUUGGCAAUGUAUGA